CUGUCUAAUUAAUAAUUAAGUUGAUUAUAGAAUUUUAAAUAACAUGACUUAAGGUAAUAACAUGAUAUGGAACAUACAUCUAACUUUUUUAUUUUUUAUAAUUUUAAUAAUAAUGUUUAGGUUAAUAUUUUGAUUGGUCUUAAAACAUUGGAUCGGUAGCUAAUUGCAAGAGCCACUAAUGCUAAUAGUUCCUGAUGUACAAGAUUUCUAUACUCCCUUACAGACAGAUGUUCUUGUUUCUCUAUCUGAGGUUAAUAUCCAAGGCUGUUGUUUUCUGGACUGUUUUUUCUUCGUUAAUUUUGUACUAUACUAUUCUGUUGUGUUUGAGGCAAUAUUUAAUUGCCAAUAAUAGUUGAUCUUUUGUUU